rnacentral:tRNA from 1 species
UCCCAUAUAGUCUAGAGGUUAGGAUCACCCGCUUUCACCGGGUAGGCCCGGGUUCGAUUCCCGGUAUGGGAG